rnacentral:tRNA from 2 species
GUUCUAGUAGCUCAGCUGGAUAGAGCACUGCCCUCCUAAGGCAGGUGUCGGAGGUUCGAAUCCUCUCUGGAACG